GUCGAGCGGCAGCAGGCCCUUCGGGGUGCUGGCGAGCGGCGGACGGGUGAGUAAUGCAUGGGAACUUGCCCAGUAGUGGGGGAUAGCCCGGGGAAACCCGGAUUAAUACCGCAUACGCCCUGAGGGGGAAAGCGGGCCUUUGGCUCGCGCUAUUGGAUGGGCCCAUGUCGGAUUAGUUAGUUGGUGGGGUAACGGCUUACCAAGGCGACGAUCCGUAGCUGGUCUGAGAGGAUGAGCAGCCACACUGGGACUGAGACACGGCCCAGACUCCUACGGGAGGCAGCAGUGAGGAAUUUUCCGCAAUGGGCGCAAGCCUGACGGAGCCAGACCGCGUGAGGGAAGAAGGCCUUUGGGUUGUCAACCUCUUUUCUCAGGGAAGAAGCAAGUGACGGUACCUGAGGAAUCAGCCUCGGCUAACUCCGUGCCAGCAGCCGCAGUAAUACGGAGGAGGCAAGCGUUAUCCGGAAUUAUUGGGCGUAAAGCGUCCGCAGGUGGCAGCUCAAGUCUGCUGUCAAAGGCCGGGGCUCAACCCCGGGAAGGCAGUGGAAACUGGGAAGCUAGAGUGCGGUAGGGGUAGAGGGAAUUCCCAGUGUAGCGGUGAAAUGCGUAGAGAUUGGGAAGAACACCGGUGGCGAAAGCGCUCUACUGGACCGCAACUGACACUCAGGGACGAAAGCUAGGGUAGCGAAAGGGAUUAGAUACCCCUGUAGUCCUAGCCGUAAACGAUGGAUACUAGGCGUGGCUUGUAUCGACCCGAGCCGUGCCGAAGCUAACGCGUUAAGUAUCCCGCCUGGGGAGUACGCACGCAAGUGUGAAACUCAAAGGAAUUGACGGGGGCCCGCACAAGCGGUGGAGUAUGUGGUUUAAUUCGAUGCAACGCGAAGAACCUUACCAGGGCUUGACAUGUCGCGAACCCCGGUGAAAGCUGGGGGUGCCUUCGGGAGCGCGAACACAGUGGUGCAUGGCUGUCGUCGGCUCGUGUCGUGAGAUGUUGGGUUAAGUCCCGCAACGAGCGCAACC
rnacentral:rRNA from 1 species